rnacentral:rRNA from 1 species
AGAGUUUGAUCCUGGCUCAGGACGAACGCUGGCGGCGUGCCUAACACAUGCAAGUCGAGCGAUUCUCUUCGGAGAAGAGCGGCGGACGGGUGAGUAACGCGUGGGUAACCUGCCCUGUACACACGGAUAACAUACCGAAAGGUAUGCUAAUACGAGAUAAUAUACUUUUAUCGCAUGGUAGAAGUAUCAAAGCUCCGGCGGUACAGGAUGGACCCGCGUCUGAUUAGCUAGUUGGUAAGGUAACGGCUUACCAAGGCGACGAUCAGUAGCCGACCUGAGAGGGUGAUCGGCCACAUUGGAACUGAGACACGGUCCAAACUCCUACGGGAGGCAGCAGUGGGGAAUAUUGCACAAUGGGCGAAAGCCUGAUGCAGCAACGCCGCGUGAGCGAUGAAGGCCUUCGGGUCGUAAAGCUCUGUCCUCAAGGAAGAUAAUGACGGUACUUGAGGAGGAAGCCCCGGCUAACUACGUGCCAGCAGCCGCGGUAAUACGUAGGGGGCUAGCGUUAUCCGGAAUUACUGGGCGUAAAGGGUGCGUAGGUGGUUUCUUAAGUCAGAGGUGAAAGGCUACGGCUCAACCGUAGUAAGCCUUUGAAACUGGGAAACUUGAGUGCAGGAGAGGAGAGUGGAAUUCCUAGUGUAGCGGUGAAAUGCGUAGAUAUUAGGAGGAACACCAGUUGCGAAGGCGGCUCUCUGGACUGUAACUGACACUGAGGCACGAAAGCGUGGGGAGCAGACAGGAUUAGAUACCCUGGUAGUCCACGCCGUAAACGAUGAGUACUAGCUGUCGGAGGUUACCCCCUUCGGUGGCGCAGCUAACGCAUUAAGUACUCCGCCUGGGAAGUACGCUCGCAAGAGUGAAACUCAAAGGAAUUGACGGGGACCCGCACAAGUAGCGGAGCAUGUGGUUUAAUUCGAAGCAACGCGAAGAACCUUACCUAAGCUUGACAUCCUUUUGACCGAUGCCUAAUCGCAUCUUUCCCUUCGGGGACAGAAGUGACAGGUGGUGCAUGGUUGUCGUCAGCUCGUGUCGUGAGAUGUUGGGUUAAGUCCCGCAACGAGCGCAACCCUUGCCUUUAGUUGCCAGCAUUAAGUUGGGCACUCUAGGGGGACUGCCAGGGAUAACCUGGAGGAAGGUGGGGAUGACGUCAAAUCAUCAUGCCCCUUAUGCUUAGGGCUACACACGUGCUACAAUGGGUGGUACAGAGGGCAGCCAAGUCGUGAGGCGGAGCUAAUCCCUUAAAGCCAUUCUCAGUUCGGAUUGUAGGCUGAAACUCGCCUACAUGAAGCUGGAGUUACUAGUAAUCGCAGAUCAGAAUGCUGCGGUGAAUGCGUUCCCGGGUCUUGUACACACCGCCCGUCACACCACGGGAGUUGGGGGCGCCCGAAGCCGGAUUGCUAACCUUUUGGAAGCGUCCGUCGAAGGUGAAAUCAAUAACUGGGGUGAAGUCGUAACAAGGUA